rnacentral:lncRNA from 1 species
GAAUGGGGCGCCUGGAGGCUGCAUUGAGGCCGAGCUGUGUAAACUGUAGGGUGCCUCGCCGACUUGGAGCCACCGAGACUGGCGGCGGGUCAACUUGGACCACUUUGCAUUCACGCUCUGAAUAGGCGGAGCGGGAGGCGCCCUUUUCCGCGGCCGCCUUUCAGCCGCGAGAGUGACAGAUUGGGGGUCAGGGGCUGGCGGGAGGGGGGCCCUCGCCGGGCAGAUGGAUCGCGCGUGGCCGCUCCGCGCACCCCCGCCCUGCGCCCGGGCGCGUCUACGCAGACGGGCUCGGACCCGCGCCGGUGUAUGAUUGGCAGCUGCGAACUUCCUACGGCCGCCGGGGGAAGGGUGGUUUUCCUUUUUCCCCCCCAAAACUGCUCUGUCUUAAUUGCAAGAAUAGUACAUCCCGCAGGUCCCAGAGCCCAGCGCUUGGCUCCUCUCCCGGCACUUCCAACAAUUGGAAAUGAUUCGUCUUUGAUGCCUUCGCUGAAGUCACAAUCCUUUCACAGUUGACCUGAGCACCAGGUUCCCCUGAGGUCCCCAAACCAGUCUUAGAAACAGUACUCAGCCCAGCAAAUGACAGCGAAUGACACUGCGCAACUGAUGCGAUGGAAUUGUCAAGCCUAAUAAAAUGCAGCCCCUCUGUGGAUGGUGCUGCCCUCCACGUGGUGAUGUCCGAGCUGUGGCCGGUCUGCAGAAUAAAUUCAUCAUCGGGCAGAAAACAAACGUGGAAUUACGUGCCUUCCAGGACUUUGGUUCAGAACCCAGUUUCAAAGGGAGGAGGCAGUGAUGGGCUCCAAGCCCCCACUGAGCCAGGAGGUAAAAAUUCCAGGGAAUCUCGGCCCCAUGGAAUUUCUCUCCCCUGAGGAGUAAGAAGAAGCGGCCUGCGGGCUGUGUUUACUCUGCGUGAAUGGGGGAGGGUCUGUGCCCUUGCUUGGGGUGUGGCUCUCCCUCUGGCUGGCGUCACCCUGCCGCCAACAGUCACUCUGCUGGCGGGCUGAGGGCUCCCUGGGACCCCAGUGGCAGGCAUGUCACCAGGCUGUGUUGGGAGGUGAAACCUAGGAGAGGACCUUGGCACCUGGAAUAACGCAGCCGCUUAGGCAUAUCUGACCGCAGAGGAUAGCUAGCUGUCCUCAUCCCCAGACGCCACAGGAGCCUUCAUCCGAGGCUCCCUGGAGACCCCCAACCCCUCUCCAGCCCCGCUCACUCAACCAGUAAACUGGGCAGAUUGCUUUGGAAAUGGACAAAAUCGCAUGUUCCUUUUGCACAGAUUGUGGGGCAGGACACUUGCCUGCAGAGGACCGUCCCUGAAUUCCCCGUCUUUACACAGCAGCGGUGAAGCCCUCUGUAAGAGUCUGGCGUGAAGCACCGUUUCGCUGUGAUUUCGGGCACGACUGAGGGAGGGUGGGCACUUCAGCUCUUUGACCUGCUCAGAAGACCAGCAGCCUUCUGCUCCUAUAGCCCUCCCCACACGCAGGCCCGGAGGGGCAUUCGGAGCCCUUUGAGCUGGCUUUUCCGAGUUGCCCUCUGCCCAAUUUUAUGCGCCUGCCCUACCAGCAGCGUUUUCUGGAAAACAUGAUUCUCACAGUUUCCUUCUCCAGACCCGCUCUUUUUACCCCAAAGAAAAUGAUCUUCAGCCUUGGUUUUAGAUAGUGACACAAAGGUAGAACAUUCUUCUCUAUUUGGAAAUUUGUAAAUACUUUUGUGUAAAAGUGAUGUGAAAAAAAUAUUUGAAAGUGUUAAGCUUCUGCUGCAACGGUACCUGAUCUGAUUUCACCGGCUGCUGUUUCAGAAAAACACUGUGCCUGUCGGUUUAAGAAAAUGUUUACGUUGUUAUUAUUUUCAUCUUCUCUUCAUUGUUGCCUGUAAGUCUUUUUAAGGAGCUAGAAAGAAAUAAUCCGCAAACAGCGAAAGGAGGGAGCAAGGGUGCAAGGGUGCUGGCGUUCAGGGCUGGGUUGUUUGCUUUUUUUUCUGUUUCCUAAAAGGGAACCAUCCAUUUGUUUUUUGCUGGAGUUCUCAGGUGUUUCCAUCUUCAGCCCGCUCCGCUGGAUGGAGCAGCGCAAAGUGUGCAUCAAAGAGUUAAACGUGAAUGGCUCGGCUUUGCAGUACGUUUGGCUCCGGCUGCAAGUAGGUGGAGUUUGGAAUCUGGGUCCCCCAGACCCCUUGCAUUUUUGGUUGAUUGUCCUUAAUUACUUUGGAGGGCUGAGCAAGGUUGCUUGUGCCUCCAGGCGCUCAUGACAGACAAGGAAUGUUUCUUAAUGCUAUUUAUAAGGAGCGCAUCACGCAUCAAACAGCAACAAUGACAAGAAUAGCCAGUGUAUCAUUACGGCCUUCACUGAAGUAGAAGAUGCAGUAAACAGAAAGAAAAACCAACUACAUGGGGCUGGAUUUAUUUGUUUUGAUUGCCUAUUAUUCAGAAAGGUAUUUAUACCCGGAUUUUUACAGUAUUUACUGAAGCCCUAAUUUCUCUGGUUGAAGGAUGGAGACAAAAAGGUGGGCGUGGGGUGGUGAGCAAGGAGGUGCUGACCUGCCCUCAGGAAACCCAGCUAAAAGCCAGUUUAGAGUCUGAAAGAGAAAAACAGUUCUCGCUAAUUAUUUUUUGGAAUUUCUUUCUGGGGAGAAGAACAAAUAUGGAGAAGAUGUUCUCAUGUUACCAGAAUUAAGAUAAUCAGAUUUAUCAAAUAAAAAUACAGGACGGCCAGCUUAAUUUGAAUCU